rnacentral:rRNA from 1 species
UACGCCUGCUUCAAGUUAAGAAUUUUUUACAAAAUUAUGUUUUAUAAAAUUAAUCGAUUUAAAAAAUAUUAUUAGGUAGAAUUUUAAUAUUUUUGGAAGACUUUUAUGUAAAACAAAAGAAUUACAUUUAUGGACCAGGAUUAGAUACCCUGUUACUUUUAACUAUAAAAUUUUGGAAUAGUAAUAAUAAUGAAAUUUAACGGAUUUGGCGGCAAGAUAGCUAUUUAGAGGAACCUGCCCUGUAAACGAUGAACCACGAAUAACAUUACUUUUAUUUGUAAUCAGUUUGUAUAUCGCUGUUGUCAGUUAGUUUCUUUAGAAAACUUUCUAUUAUAAAAAAAUUAAAGACUUCAAGUAAAGGUGCAGCUAAUAUAAAAGUUAGAGGUGGGUUACAUUAUAUGGAUUAAUACGGAUAAAGUUUUUGAAAUAACUUUUGAAGGUGGAUUUAAUAGUAAAGUUUAUAAAAACUUGAUUAAGGCUCUUUCUUGUGU